UGUAGGGUUUUUUUUCAUUUCCAUUUAAUAUAAGCAGAACAAAUCCUAUAAGUACCAGAUGAUUUCAAAAGAAAAUUUGUUGUCCAUAUAUUGUACAGCUGAAGGUGAAUUUUUGUCAAUCAAUCAUUACGGGGAAUGGACCCAAGGAUGAAGAAAAUCUCCAAAAUGUCAAUUUUUCCUACUGUAUGAAGUGGACCUUUAAUAUUCUUUAGGUUUUUUUUGUAAAUAUGACAAAGACAGAUUGAUAUUCUGUGUUAUACAAAAAAAAAAUGGCAAAAACUUGUGCAGCAAAGGGUUGACUUGCCCUUUUGAUUGGCUAUGGUUUGACUCUCACCCCUUUGGAUGGUCAUUUGCUAUAGCCAUGGGUAAUCUUGCUCUCAUUGUGGCCAUCUGUUAUCUUAUUCUGUUUUUGGCCAUGUGUAAACUUGUUUCGUUUUUGAGCAGGUGAUAAAGAGCAGAAUCCAAAAGCUGUAAUGUACAAUAACAAAAGAAUUUAAUCCAAUAUCUGGUGAAAGAAAUGUAAAAGAGUGAAUUAUUUGAUGAGUACUGUGUUGUUGAUUAUGUAGAUUUUGUUAUACAUGUCCUGUAUAUUGUGAUUAAAGCUGUAUAUUAGCUUCA